AUGUAUAAUGUCACAGAGGCCGUCUGGUGUGAUGGGAAGAGCUCUAGGGAUCACAGAAUCCAAGUGGGAAUGGAUUGUAGAGGUCAUCCAGUCCAACUCCUCCUUUUACAGGGAGUUUUAGAAAGGAAAAAAGGAAGAAGCACUUAUAUAAAAUCUACUAUAUUCCAGGGCCUCAUCACAGCAUGGAGUAUCCCUGAGGAUGGAUGCCAAUAG
rnacentral:lncRNA from 1 species